rnacentral:rRNA from 1 species
CUACGGGAGGCACCAGUGGGGAAUAUUGCACAAUGGGCGCAAGCCUGAUGCAGCCAUGCCGCGUGUAUGAAGAAGGCCUUCGGGUUGUAAAGUACUUUCAGCGGGGAGGAAGGGAGUAAAGUUAAUACCUUUGCUCAUUGACGUUACCCGCAGAAGAAGCACCGGCUAACUCGCGUGCCAGCAGCCGCGGUAAUACGGAGGGUGCAAGCGUUAAUCGGAAUUACUGGGCGUAAAGCGUACGCAGGCGGUUUGUUAAGUCAGAUGUGAAAUCCCCGGGCUCAACCUGGGAACUGCAUCUGAUACUGGCAAGCUUGAGUCUCGUAGAGGGGGGUAGAAUUCCAGGUGUAGCGGUGAAAUGCGUAGAGAUCUGGAGGAAUACCGGUGGCGAAGGCGGCCCCCUGGACGAAGACUGACGCUCAGGUGCGAAAGCGUGGGGAGCAAACAGGAUUAGAUACCCGCGUAGUC